rnacentral:lncRNA from 1 species
UGCUAGGCAAGCGCUCUACCACUGAGCUAAAUCCCCAACCCCCAGGAGGAUGGUUUUAUGUUCCUGCCCAGGCACCAUUCUGCCCAUUGAUCUUAGUUUUCUUCGUGAAGUGUAUAGAAGCUGCAAAUACAGGUGGGUCUGAUUGUAAAUCACCCCCAGAAGCAACUCCAUCACUCCUGACUGAUGUGAUUGAAGCCCUUGGCGUUGAUGGUGACAACUGUCUGACCCUAAACCUAUGAGAAGGAGAACUUUGCUGUUUCCGGUUAACCCGGUGCUGUUCCUUUUGACAGACAGGAAGCAGAGACGGCGCGUAGGGGAGGGGUGCUGACCCAGGACUCCUGGGCCCAAGUUGGCAGCAGGAGGAAAGGAACAGGGACAGUAGGUGUGGGGGAUUCUCUGAGGAUCCUCUGCUGUGACUGGAGUCCUGUCUUAAGGAUUAGAGUCCCAGUAAAAGUCACCUCAGAUUGUUUAACGUACCUUCGGGCUCCCGGUGCUUCCAACCUUUAAGCCCCCUCCUCCCUGCCACUUAGAGGGCAAGUCUGCAGACAGGACAUCCAGCCAGAACUCGCCUGCCUCACUGAGAGGGCAUACCUGCCCUAGAAAACAUUCUGAGAGUUGCCAUGGUGCACAGAGCUGAGAAGCCUCUUUUGCCCUCCCCUUCCCAAGAGCGGCGGCAUCUUGAUGAAAAUAUUUCUGCUCCAGUCUCUGCAAUUCAGCCUUCGAAGUCAGCGCGUCAUAAAAAAGGGCAACUUCCUCACAAAAUGAACCCACUCAGCGAUUGCUCCUUCUGGGAAUUUGCUUUUGUUCCUCGGAGUCACUUUAUCUGGAACUUCAAUUUUUGGAUCACAUCUGUCGCUGAGGAUUUUUCAGCGCAAGAACUUUGGCAAAAUGAUCUGUUUUAUUAAAGUGUGUCAUUGGGUUGGGACCCAGUCCCUGAGACUUGACAGCUUUCACGUGGCACCUUCUUCCCAGCAUGGACCUUCACAG